rnacentral:rRNA from 1 species
UACGAAGGAUGCAAGCGUUAUCCGGAUUCAUUGGGUUUAAAGGGAGCGUAGGUGGCCUUAUAAGUCAGUGGUGAAAUCUCUGGGCUUAACUGGGAGGGUGCAGCGGAAACUAGAAUGCUAGAGGGUGGGAGAGGUAAGCGGAAUUCCUGGUGUAGCGGUGAAAUGCGUAGAUAUCAGGAGGAACACCUGUGGUGUAGACAGCUUACUGGACCACUUCUGACGCUGAGACACGAAAGCGUGGGUAGCAAACAGG